GAUAUGUUUCAGAAAUGGUUGCAAUUACCUACUGGUGGUAAGGUGGCCGAGCUUUAGGGUUUGUAACAACCCAGCUCAAUAAGCCAUCAAGUCCGCGACCCGCAAAAAAAGGCGGUUAACCUGGUUAAAGUCCAGGACCAACGGUACAGUCCGGAUGUCAGAAACGGAGA
rnacentral:ncRNA from 1 species